ACUAAAGACCUUUAAAUGCUUGAACC
rnacentral:piRNA from 1 species